GGAAUUUUGCGCAAUGGGGGCAACCCUGACGCAGCAACGCCGCGUGCGGGACGACGGCCUUCGGGUUGUAAACCGCUUUCAGCAGGGAAGAACCUCUGACGGUACCUGCAGAAGAAGCCCCGGCUAACUACGUGCCAGCAGCCGCGGUAAAACGUAGGUCACAAGCGUUGUCCGGAAUUACUGGGUGUAAAGGGAGCGCAGGCGGGCAGACAAGUUGGAAGUGAAAUCCAUGGGCUCAACCCAUGAACUGCUUUCAAAACUGUAUGUCUUGAGUAGUGCAGAGGUAGGCGGAAUUCCCGGUGUAGCGGUGGAAUGCGUAGAUAUCGGGAGGAACACCAGUGGCGAAGGCGGCCUACUGGGCACCAACUGACGCUGAGGCUCGAAAGUGUGGGUAGCAAACAGGAUUAGAUACCCUGGUAGUCCACACCGUAAACGAUGAUUACUAGGUGUUGGAGGAUUGACCCCUUCAGUGCCGCAGUUAACACAAUAAGUAAUCCACCUGGGGAGUACGACCGCAAGGUUGAAACUCAAAGGAAUUGACGGGGGCCCGCACAAGCAGUGGAGUAUGUGGUUUAAUUCGACGCAACGCGAAGAACCUUACCAAGUCUUGACAUCCCUUGACGAUGCUGGAAACAGUAUUUCUCUUCGGAGCAAGGAGACAGGUGGUGCAUGGUUGUCGUCAGCUCGUGUCGUGAGAUGUUGGGUUAAGUCCCGCAACGAGCGCAACCCUUAUGGUCAGUUACUACGCAAGAGGACUCUGGCCAGACUGCCGUUGACAAAACGGAGGAAGGUGGGGAUGACGUCAAAUCAUCAUGCCCUUUAUGACUUGGGCUACACACGUACUACAAUGGCGUUAAACAAAGAGAAGCAAGACCGCGAGGUGGAGCAAAACUCAGAAACAACGUCCCAGUUCGGACUGCAGGCUGCAACUCGCCUGCACGAAGUCGGAAUUGCUAGUAAUCGCAGAUCAGCAUGCUGCGGUGAAUACGUUCCC
rnacentral:rRNA from 1 species